rnacentral:rRNA from 1 species
AGUGAACGCUGGCGGUAGGCCUAACACAUGCAAGUCGAACGGCAGCACAGUAAGAGCUUGCUCUUACGGGUGGCGAGUGGCGGACGGGUGAGGAAUACAUCGGAAUCUACUUUUUCGUGGGGGAUAACGUAGGGAAACUUACGCUAAUACCGCAUACGACCUACGGGUGAAAGCAGGGGAUCUUCGGACCUUGCGCGAUUGAAUGAGCCGAUGUCGGAUUAGCUAGUUGGCGGGGUAAAGGCCCACCAAGGCGACGAUCCGUAGCUGGUCUGAGAGGAUGAUCAGCCACACUGGAACUGAGACACGGUCCAGACUCCUACGGGAGGCAGCAGUGGGGAAUAUUGGACAAUGGGCGCAAGCCUGAUCCAGCCAUACCGCGUGGGUGAAGAAGGCCUUCGGGUUGUAAAGCCCUUUUGUUGGGAAAGAAGAGCAGCAGGUUAAUACCCCGCUGUUCUGACGGUACCCGAAGAAUAAGCACCGGCUAACUUCG